rnacentral:rRNA from 1 species
GACGAACGCUGGCGGCGUGCCUAAUACAUGCAAGUCGAGCGAAGCGGCGGAUGGGUGAGUAACGCGUGGGUAACCUGCCCUUAAGUCUGGGAUACCAUUUGGAAACAGAUGCUAAUACCGGAUACUAAAGGAUGGACCUGCGAUGCAUUAGCUAGUUGGUAAGGUAACGGCUUACCAAGGCGAUGAUGCAUAGCCGAGUUGAGAGACUGAUCGGCCACAUUGGGACUGAGACACGGCCCAAACUCCUACGGGAGGCAGCAGUGGGGAAUAUUGCACAAUGGGCGCAAGCCUGAUGCAGCCAUGCCGCGUGUAUGAAGAAGGCCUUCGGGUUGUAAAGUACUUUCAGCGAGGAGGCGUUACUCGCAGAAGAAGCACCGGCUAACUCCGUGCCAGCAGCCGCGGUAAUUC